AAUUUUUUCGUUCUUCACCCCUUGUGUUUUAAUUUCUCUUUUUCUGGUUUUAUCUUCUCCUGUAUUUGCAAAGCAUAUUCUUAUUUUCUGUCUUUGAUGGCAUCAGAUGAAAAGAAAAACAAAAUGUGACUCUGUAUCAUUUGCCUUCCCGAUUAGAUUAAUUCAAUCUCACUGCAUCUUUUGAUUUUCUUCCUCACCCUUUUCCCUAUGUUUCAGUCUUGUUACACAGCUACAAUUGUUUUUUGGAGAAACUUAUACAACUCAAGAAUAAACAAGCUUAACAAUACUGAAGGAGUACAAACAAAUAGCCUUCAAAAAUGUAAGAGCUUGAUGAGAAAAAGAAAAGUCAAUAUUCUCAUUAAACGUAGAGUGGAUAGGACAAGGAAGGGGAGGUGGAAGAGAUGAAGGUGAACAGAACCCCAUAUCUCUUUUGAUCCACCACAACCAACAUUGAUGCACUGCUACAAGUGGACACAUCCAGAAAAGAAAAAGAAGAGAAAGCAAAAUCACUGCAGCAUCAACCAGAGUUCUCCAUAACUGCCUACCAAUUCAUACCUUGCACUGUGUUGACUGUAGGAAGAUGCAGUGAAGUCUGCCCAUACAUGGGGUGACAACCUGAAGCCAGCACACCAGCAUCUCUACAAAGAUUCUUCAGAUAGAGGGAAGUCAGUGGCAGUUGCUGAAAGAAAUAUUGGAAUUAGGAUUUACAUUCUGGCUUUAAGAUAUUGAAGUAAAGAAGUAAGGAAGAGACUGAAGUAAGGAAGAGACUGAAGUAGGGAAGUGGGGGCUGCAGCUUUGUGAAGCAAGAGUCCUGCUCUGGGAAGGAGUAAAGGAAGAGAGAAGUUGUAUAGGAGACACAAGGCUGAGGUCCUACCUUGGGGAAGUGGGAAGUACACUAUGGAAAAUAUGCUAAGGGAACACGAGUAUUUACUCAGUAGUAUACACCUUCUCCCCUUGUUUCUCCUGUUUAACAGUAAUACCUAAUAAAUACAAUAACAAUAAUUUAAAUGUAAUACCUCAAAUCUGUACUCCUGUUCAUUUUCCUCUGAUGUAUGUUUUUCUUUCAGACCUCAAAAGAGCUUUUUGUGCUCAAAUUUUAUCUAUGUUGAGAUUUAUCAAAUUACAGAAUUUUCUUUUUCAUCUUAGAUCUUUUCCCCGGUAGCAGAGUGUUGGUCCCUAGUAUUGCUCCUGCCCCCAGCAGUACUCCCUUUCUCAUCCCCUCCUCCCAAAUGUCACCAUUAAGGUCUUAAGAUUUCUUGUUUCUCUGCUUGCACAACCUAAAUAAAUUUCUCGAUGUUCGCUAAACUACAGCUUGUCCUUACUAAUUGACAAAGCACUUAAAUAUUUCUACUAAAACGGCCAUAACAAAAGCAUUGAGAAAACAAAUCCCUGAUCUCCAUGCAUAAAAUCUAAGUGAAAUCAGAUUGGUAAGGGCAACCCAUAGCCAUCAUGAACCUUUGAAGGAUGUUCUUACUGUGUCUAAGUCUGUAAAUUUUGUAAUAUUCAGAGGCUAUUUACAAUGUGAGACUAAUAGUGUUAGGCUGUUUGCAUUCUACAUUUCCCUUCUAGAAAAGCUCAGACUGGCUGCAGUUCGAUUAAAAAAAUACACAAUAAAAUGCAUAAG
ensembl:lncRNA